UACGGAGGGUGCGAGCGUUGUCCGGAAUCACUGGGCGUAAAGGGCGCGUAGGCGGUCUGCUAAGCGUGCGGUGAAAGCCUGGGGCUCAACCCCAGGUCUGCCGUGCGAACUGGUGGACUUGAGCACUGUAGAGGCAGGUGGAAUUCCGGGUGUAGCGGUGGAAUGCGUAGAGAUCCGGAAGAACACCAGUGGCGAAGGCGGCCUGCUGGGCAGUUGCUGACGCUGAGGCGCGACAGCGUGGGGAGCAAACAGG
rnacentral:rRNA from 1 species